rnacentral:lncRNA from 1 species
UGUGUGUGUAUAUUAUAUAUACACAUAGAUGUGUGUGUAUAUUAUAUAUACACAUAGAUGUGUGUGUAUAUAUAUUGCACAGGGAUUAAAGAUAGUUAUUUAGCAUUAUCUCUCGACAGAAAAUGUGCUUACUCAGUAGUACAUGGCAGCAUUGAUUGGAUAGUGGAAAUUGAAAAUCAUCUAUACGUCCAUUACCAGAGGACUGGUUAUAUUAACUAUGGUAUAUUCCUGUAAUAUUUAAAAAAUCCAUGAUCUUUGGUGAAAAAAGCACAGAAUAGACCAAUUACAGCAUGAUUCCUCUUGUUAAAAGAAAAAAGGUAGCAUAGUGAUUAAGAGCGUGUCUCCUGGAGCCAGAAUGCUUGCAUUUGAAUCCCAGCUCCGCCACAUAUUUUCUUUGUGAUUAACCUUUCUUUGCCUCAGCUUCCUUAUUUAUAAAAUGGAGAUAAUGGAACCUAUUUAGUAGAGUUUUUAGGAAGAUGAAAAUAAUUUCAUAAAAUACUUAGAAUUGUAGUGGGACAGAUUAAAUUCUGUAUAUGUGUUUAGAAAACAUAUUCAUUCAUUUGUUCCACAACUAUUCAUUGAGUGCUCACACACUAGACAUUGAUUUACGGUCAUGGAAUAAGUACAUCAGACAACAAGUCAAGUCAAGUCUUUGCCUCAUGGAGCUAACAUUCUAAGAGGAGAAACAUGCAGUAAACAAGUAAAGAAAUGUAUGCUCUAUUCAGGGAGUAGUUUGUGCUAUGAGGAAAAGCAAAACAGGUUGAAGAGAUAGCUAUGUGGUGGGAGUGGGACUAUUUCGUACAGGGCACUGAUUGUAGACCUCUGAUGAGAUAACAUUUGACAAGAGAUCUGCAGGGAGCUAUGUGUCAUGGGGGAAGGCAUUGGAGGGUUUUGUGCAGGACAGUGAUGUGUGAUCAGAUUUAGUUUAAAAGAAUAAUUUGGGCUGGGCAUGGUGGUUCCUGCCUGUAAUCCCAGCACUUUGGGAGGGUGAGGUGGGCGAAUCACUUGAAUCUGGGAGUUUGAUACCAGUUCGGGCAACAUGGCGAAAUCCCGUCUCUACAAAAAAUACAAAAAUUAGCCAGUGUGGUGGCACGCGCCUGCAGUCCCAGCUACUUGGGAGGCUGAGGUGGGAGAAUUGCUUGGAUCUGGGAGGUGGAGGUUGCAGUGAACUCAGAUUGCGCCACUGCACUCCAGCCUGAGAUUGUGCCACUGCACUCCAGCCACUGCACUCCAGGAAGACCCUCUCAGAAAAAAAAAAAAAAGAAUUUGGCCGUUAUGUGGAGGACUGGAAUUGAGAAGGGCAAGAGCGAGGUAGAAGAGUGGUCUAGGGAGAACAGUUAGGGGCUAUUGCAAUUAUCCAGCAAGAGAUCUUGGACCAGGAUGGCAGCAGUGGAGGUGGUAAAAUGUGGUUGGAUGAAGCGUACGCUUUGAAGGUAUCAACAGGACCAGCUGAUGGAAGGGAGUCAACAGGACUAGCUGAUGGCUGUAAACUGGGGGGUCACUAGCUAUCAGAUGGCAUUUACUUAAAGCCAUGGAAGUAGGUGAGCUCCCUUAUGGAGAGGGAAUAGGAAGGAGGUAGACCAUUCUAUCAAAAUGCUCUUUCUACAGGGCACUUCUCACUGAGAUAUUAUUUAUCUGGGAUUUAUAUUAUUUAUUCAAUUUGUUUUGUGUUUGGUUCUAUUAGAAAAGCUCCAUAGGGGCCGGGCACGUUGGCUUUUGCCUGUAAUCCCAACACUUUGGAAGGCCGAGGCAGGCGGAUUACCUGGGGUCAGGAGUUUGAGACCAGCCUGGCCAACAUGGUGAAACUCUGUCUCUACUAAAAACACAAAAAUUAGCCGGGCGUGGUGGUGCGCCUGUAAUCCCAGAUGCUGAGGAGGAGAAUCGCUUGAACCCGGGAGGUGGAGGUUGCAGUGAGCCGAGAUCGCGCCACUGCACUCCAGCCUGGGCAACAAGAGCGAAACUCCCUCUCAAAAACAAACAAACAAACAAACAAACAAACAAAAAACAAAAAAAAGAAAGAAAGAAAGAAAAGGGCCAGGUGUGGUGGCUCACACCUGUAAUCCCAGCACUUUGGGAGGCUGAGGCAGGCGGAUCACGAGGUCAGGAGAUCGAGACCAUCCUCACCAACACGGUGAAACCCCGUCUCUACUAAAAAUACAAAAAUUAGUCGGGUGUGGUGGCGGGCGCCUGUAGUCCCAGGUACUCCGCAGGCUGAGGCAGGAGAAUCGCUUGAACCCGGGAGGCGGAGGUUGUAGUGAGCCGAGAUUGAGCCACUGCACUCCAGCCUGGGUGACAAAGUGAGACUCCAUCUCAAAAGAAAAAAGCUCCAUAGGAGAAGGAACCUUGUCUCUUCACCACAUAAACUGUGUUUGGAUUCGCAAUCGAGUUGGGAAAAAAAAAUCAGUCUGGAAGAGCCACACCAAACCGCUAACAGCUACUGUCUCUGGGAAUAGAACAAGGAGUUUGGUUGGCGCGAUAUACCGCCCCUGAACCUCUAGCCACAAUAAGGCUUAAUUAAUGACCGGACGACUUGAAAGCGCCUUCCACUGUUUAUCUCUUAAAUCUGCAACGAAAUGCAACAAAAACGCAAGAAAUAAACAAUAGAAGCCAGUCUUACUGCACACUGCAGAAGCCAAUAAACCCCAAAUGUAGCUCAAAACAAGGUGUCACGCAAACUUCUGAUUUUUUUUUGUUUUACACUGAAUCUCUGUCACUCUGACUAGAGGGCAGUGGCGCGAUCUCGGAUCACUACAACCUCCGUCUUCUAGAGUCAAGAGACUCUCCCGCCCCAGGAGUCUCUGCCACUCUGACUAGAGGGCAGUGGCGCGAUCUCGGAUCACUACAACCUCCGUCUUCUAGAGUCAAGAGACUCUCCCGCCCCAGCUUCUCCAAUAGGUGGGAUUGCAAACAGGCACCACCACGCCCGAAUAAGUUUGUGAACAUUUGGUACAAAUAACAAAUGACCAAGUUCCUUGGUUGUAGUUGCCUAACUUUUAAUACUUAAAAAUGUAGCCUCAGGAAAUAAGAGGCCUCAAAAAAUUGAAUAAAAACUCACAACUUUCUCUCCACGGAAAUCUUUAGUAAAAGGCGAAAGAUUUAUGCGCUUUGAAGAGAAACCCGAGUAUAUUCGUGACUUCCGCUUCGAACCUCGCAGGGAGAACUAACACUUAACACACUUAUGGUUGUUGGAUGCCUGCGUGGUACGCACUCCCUAUAUGUAGUUUAUGCACACAGAUGCGUGUAAGAGGCAUCAUGCUCUAAAACAGUGCAGAAAUGCGCGCACAGAGGGAGUGCAAGCAUCUUGAGGGUAUCUUUUCGUGGUGCACCAUGGGUAUGCAAAUCACAGGCGGCUCCGGGCUGUUCCGCGCCACCGGGGAAGCCAUGGGUCACUGAUCUCCUUUGCUCUCCUAUGCUCCUCUCUGCUGGUCCUCCUGGGACCCGCACCCCGUGGGCGGCGCCGGGUGCGGAGUCCUUUGCGGAGCUGGUGUUCGUCCCAGGGGUUAAGGUCCUGUCCCGCCGUCCUUACCCGCAGUAAGCCUCCGGGCUUAGAGAGAGGGACGGGGAAACAGACGGGCACAGACACUCAGGGGCACUGGGACCUCACAGGAGGCACGACCCCACCCCUCCUGGAGGAGAUGGCAUCCGAUCCAAUUCACCUCGAAGGGUGAUAUGGGGUCACAUCAAGGGGAGGCCUGUACUGCAGUGUUUAUUUCACCAAGAUUAGGCCGAAGGCUGCCGCAUGGAAGGGAAGAAGAGGACAGAGAUAAGCUCUCCAUAGUAAGUGGGUUUGCUGAGAGGAAGGAGGCAUGGGAGGAGGAAGGAACCCAGAGAGAUCUGAUAAGAAAGCAAGAGAAAGAAACACGGAUAAUUUAAAAUGGAGCAUCAAAGAGAAUAAAGACUCCUCAGGGGAGAAAAUGGGGCAGAGAAAAAGAUAAACCUUAGUUGACAAAGAUAGAUAUGGACAGGUGAACUGGGAUGCAUUGUGGUGCAGAAAGGAAGAGUCGAUAAUGCUUAGUCUGUGCCUUGGGCUCAUUAGUUAUUCUCUCUGGGUCUCCAGCUCCUCAUCUGUCAAACAGAAACAGUGACUACCUUGGUAGAAUUAGAAUAAAUGCAGGCAAAGUACUUAGGAAAUUGCAUGGCACACAGUAGGUACAGAUGUGGAGUUAUUUUUCAAUAGUUGCUGGUAGAGAAAUGAAGUGACAGAAAAAUGAGAAGGAACUGAAGGAAAGACUGCAGGUGACAGGGGAGGAAAUAGGACAGAGGAGGGAGAAUAUCAAGAUUGAUACAUGAAAAAACAACUUGUCUCUUUUUUUUGAGACAGGGUCUCGCUUUGUCACCCAGGCUGGAGUGCAGUGGUGCAAUCACAGCUCACCGCAGCCUUGACCUCCCGGCUCAAGCAAUCCUCUCAAGUAGCUGGAACUACAGGUGUGUGCCACCAUGCCCAGUUAAUGUUUGUAUUUUUUGUAGAGACAGGGUCUCCCUAUGUUGCCCAGGCUGGUCUCGAACUCCUGGGCUCAAGUGAUCCUCCCACCUCAGCCUCUGAAAGUGCUGGGAUUACAGGCAUGAGUCACUGUGCUCGGCCAAACUUUUAUGUCUUUACCAACGGGAAAAUAUAACUGGUUAACCAAUAUGGAAAAAGACUCUACCUUAUAAAUAAUAAUGUAAAUGCAAAUACAAACAUCAAUAAGUUACUAUCUAACAAUUUAGCAAAAAUUUUAAAAUUGAUGGCACUCGUUGCUGGUUUACAAGAGUACACUCUAACCCACCAUGAGAGUGUAAUAUGGUACACUCUUCGGGGGAAAGCAACAUUGCAAUAUAUAUGCUCCAUAAUCUUUGGUCCAGAAGUUUCACGUGUAAAGGCCUAUAUACUAUUGUAGGGACUUAAGCUUUCUCUAGGUGAAAUGGGAGUCAUGGUAGAUUUUGGGCAGAGGGGAUCUGACGUUUUCAUCACCUAACAAUGUAUUUUUGUGAAUACACUAUUGUGAGUUGUGAAUGAUGAGGUGCCCACGAGAAGAAGUCAGGAAACGUGUCCUGGACCAGGUGUGCGCAGGGAACUGUCAAAGACUCCGUGUUUCGGUACUGCUAAGAGUGAGCCAGGGAGGAGCCAGCGGCAAUGCUGGAGAAGCAAUCAAGUCCAAUUAUGGAGGGCCUAGAGUGUGUGCUAUGGAGUUUAUAUUUGAUUUUACAGAAUCUGGUGGAAAUCGGUGGAAGGGCACUAAGAAGGGGACUGACUUGGCCAGAUGGAGAUUGGCCACAGGGUGGUGCUGUGGAGGCAGAUUUGAAGGUGAGGCUGUCAGCACCUUCCUCCUUUCUAACAGACCCUGAUUUCCGUGGCCGUCAUCGGAAAGGCCCAGUGAUUAGGGACAGCUGGGCUCCUCCCCAGCAUCAGGAGGUGAAACUUGAUUAGUUUAAGAAGCCAAUCAGUAAUUCCAUUGCCUUUGCCAAGUGAAGGAUUUCGGCAUAGGAUGCUACAUAGUUCUUGCCAAAGAGAGCAAAUGAGAAGUUGGCUGGGAGGCUACUAAUACAUUUUUCCUCACUUUUUAAAAGAGAUGCAAGAUCAGGCAUGGUGGCUCAUGCCUGUAACCCCAGCACUUCAGGAGGCCAAGGCAGGAGGAUCGCUUGAGACCAGGAGUUCAAGACCAGCCUGGGGGCCGGCCAGGCGCGAUGGCUCAUACCUGCAAUCCCAGCACUUUGGGAGGCCGAGGUGGGCGGAUCACGAAGUCAAGAGGUUGAGACUAGCUUGGCCAACGUGGUGAAACCCUGUCUUUACUAAAAAUACAAAAAUUAGCCAGGCGUGGUGCGCACCUGUAAUCCCAGCUACUGAGGAGGCUGAGGCAGAAGAAUCGCUUGAACCCAGGAGGCGGAGGUUGCAGUGAGCUGAGGUCAAUCCACUGCACUCCAGCCUGGGCUAGAGAGCAAGACUCUGUCUCGGGGGAUGGAAAAGAAAAAGAAAAAAGGAAAAAAGAUCAGCCUGGGCAACAUAGUGGGACUGCGUCUCUACAAACAAACAAACAAACAAACAAAAAAAUUAGCUGUGCAUGGUGGCAUGUGCCUGUAGUCCCAGAUACUACAGAGAAAGAGGCAGGAGUACUGUGUGAGCCUAGGAGUUCCAGGCUGCAGUGAGCUGUGAUUGUGUCACUGCACUCCAGCCUGGGUGAAAGAGUGAGACCCUGUCUCUAUAAAACAAAACAAAAACAAAAAGAAAUGCAAGACAAGAAUGAUUUCUUUUUCCUGACACUGCAGCAGCCACUUUGAGAUAAGUCUGAGGACAAAAGUCCAGAAUGUUGAAGAUGGCAGAGGAGAAAGAUAGAAAGAAACUGGGUCCUUGCUAAUGUCCUUGGGCUGCCGAAUUAACUGAAUUAACCAGGCUUCCUGUUACAGAGAAUAAUAAAUCAAUCUUCUUUCUUCCUUCUUCCCUUCUUCCUUUCCUUUUCUUCUCUUUUCAUGUGGCUAAAAGCAUUCUAUUAUUUAAUUUAAUUUAUUUAUUUAUAUAUUUUUUUGAGACAGAGUCUUGCUGUUACCCAGGCUGGAGUGCAAUGGCACGAUCUCAG